CGAAUGGUGUAACGUCAUUAUCUCGAUUCAAAGGAAAGCUCUCUGGUAGAUUGUAUGGGAUGCCGUCCUGUUUGUUGAUAACCCUAUCCGUCACCUUCGGUGUAGAAUGUUUACGUUCUUUCUGAAGCUCAGACGAAUCAGCAACAUCCGACUCACAUGCUUCGCAAUCCGGACAACUCCAGGAAAUGUUUCGUACGUCGUCAUUAACACCUGCACAACCGAAAUGAUACCAUCUUUGACAGUGAUCGCAAAAUACCAUAUUCGUUUCAUCGUUAUCGGGACGAUGGCAAGCCGCGCAAUUGUAGCCAGACUGUUCGGGAUUCUCGGGGUUACUAGUUCGAAUGCUUACGAAAUCUCUCCUUAUAUAAAUUUCAAAUUUCCUUCUUUCAAUUCACACGCCCUUUUAACCGACUAUAAAAAUAUUUCUAAGUAGCUUUAUCUAUCACCUUUCUUGCACUAUUUAGACUAUGCUUUUCCUGUUUUCUGACUUAUGCUAUACUUUUUUUCUUCUCCCUCUUUCGCAUAACAACUUUACAUAUAUCUUUACCUGUCACCCGUCGGUAUAACGGUAUCUCCUUUCAAAUGUAUGUUGUCCUUACUCCGGCGGUACUCACUGAUUGCUGUUUUUGGAUGGUGCGUCUACAAUCAAUUUGGAAUUUCGCUUCUGCACGCAUUCU